UGCAACAGAAAGGCAAUAUUCCUCCUGUAAACAACACUACCGAGAAAACGAUGAAUGAUGGAAUGUUUAGGAGCUUUUUGCAGUUCAUGCAAAACCAGACGAGGGAGACUCGUGCACAAAAUACGGGUGGAAAUGAUAGCAAUGCGCGGCUUGCCACAGCCAAGUAGUUCAAGGAGUUGGGACCACCAGAAUUUAAGGGAAAGCCAGAUCCGAUCAUGGCGAAAACAUGGGUCAAGAAAAUUACCAAGAUAUUCGAUGUCUUGGGAUGUACGGAGGAACAGAAGGUU
rnacentral:lncRNA from 1 species